GCUCCAGAUUGGCGAGGAGAGGGAAGGAGUCCGAGAAGAAGGAGAGCGGGCCGGCGGGGAAGGUGGAAAUGACUUGGCGCACACGUGGCGCGGCGGUGGAGGGCCACGUGGAGUGGCAGAUGUUGGCCCAGAGUGGCUGGUGGGAGGCUAGCGCUUGGAGUUCGGAGGAGGUGCAGGCGGCGGAGGCGAGCGUGGGGCCGUCGAGGCGGGUGAGGAUGUGGGUUUGGAUUAUGUCCGGAU
rnacentral:lncRNA from 1 species